AAUGAACGUUGGCGGCAUGGAUUAGGCGUGCAAGUCGAGCGAGAAGUGUAGCAAUACACGGAAAGCGGCGGAAGGGAGAGUAAUACGUAGGAAUCUGCCCUUAGACCUGGGAUAGCAGCGGGAAACUGCUGGUAAUACCAGAUAAUGUCUAUGGACCAAAGGUGUGAUUCCGUCUAGGGAUGAGCCCACGUCCUAUUAGCUAGUUGGUAGGGUAAUGGCCUACCAAGGCGAUGAUGGGUAGCGGGUGUGAGAGCAUGACCCGCCUCACUGGGACUGGAACACUGCCCAGACACCUACGGGUGGCUGCAGUCGAGAAUCGUCGGCAAUGGGCGCAAGCCUGACCGAGCGAUGCCGCGUGCGGGAUGAAGGCCUUCGGGUUGUAAACCGCUGUCGAGGGGGAGCAACUUCCAUAGAGUUAUCUUUAUGGAUUGAGUGAUCCCUGGAGGAAGGACGGGCUAAGUUCGUGCCAGCAGCCGCCGUAAUAC
rnacentral:rRNA from 1 species